AGGAGGAGUAGGGGUUGAUUACACCCUGCGGUUCUGGGAUGCAACGGAGCACUGUGCUAUUUUUACUCGGUCAUUCAGUGGCAGAAGGCACUGCGAAAUGCAUGUGUGGGACGACCACGUUAGACGACACGUGCCACAGUGCCAAAUGGCAUACAAGAAGUAUUGUUUCAGUCUACCAGAAUAUCCUCUCUAUACACGCCAAUGCGAUCCCUGAUUGCAAAAGAGGAUAUGUGUGCUAAUCUGGCACAAACUUCUCCUUGCACAAAUAUAACAAUUUGUUGUA